rfam:Triticum aestivum genome assembly, contig: Triticum_aestivum_CS42_TGACv1_scaffold_434590_5DL
UAUAUACUCCCUCCGUCCGGAAAUACAUGUCGAAGAAAUGGAUAAAAGUGGAUGUAUCUUGAACUAAAAUACAUCUAGAUACAUCCAUUUCUCUGACAAGUAUUUCGGGACGGAGGGAGUAUUAA